UUUCUGACCCUGAGACAAACAAUAAAACAUUAAUAUUUGCAUACAGCUUAAGUACCUAUUAUUAUCUGGGCAAUGCCUUUUUUCAGCGCAAUGACAUUCUAGUUGGAAUUCUAAAAGCAUCAAAUCAUCAAUUUCAAAAGAAACAAAAUGAAGCUGAAGGCCAAAGCUUUGACUUUUGUAACAACCAGAAACGGAUCUAAUACAGGAAUAACCAUGCCAAGAUUCGGGAAGAUAGCCUCUGAC